rnacentral:lncRNA from 1 species
CUCCCUAUUGCUUACACAUAGCCGAUAGGAUAAAGGAUGGAGGUUCAUUUUAAGACAUCUUCUAGAGGAUUUUUUUUUUAAGAUUUCAAAAAGUCACAUUAAGGACAUUUCUAAGAUUUAGGGGGAAUAAGCUUUUGAAAUAAUGUUAUUUUAAUCUUUGCUUCAUUGGAACAGUAUAUGCUAUGGGAUCUGUUGAGCCUUCAGCACCCCCAGACCUCUGUAUCACUGUUAGAAUAAACAAGUACCUUGUUCAAAAAAACAAAAAAACCCAAGAUUUCGAUUUCAACUUGCUGACAGCUGAGUUGGAAGGCCAAUUUGCUCUUCACAGUUAUCCUGAAAUUCUCCAGAUUCCACCAGCUUUCAUUGGGUUUGAGCAAUUUCAUGUUAUGACCUCAGAGAUAGGAUGACAUUGUCUAAGAAGCUUAACUAAUAGGAAACUUGUAGCCUGUGGCUCUGCCUAAGGAUAAACGUGAGCCACCCUGACCAACAUGAAGAGGAUCAUUGCAGCGGUGAGAUUCCAAAGUUUAAUUCAUUAUUUAGAAGGUUUGAGGAGCAAAGGAAGUCUAGAGACUCAGUGCUCCCAUUUGCAACACAUUAAAAACAACCAGGAUAAUAAUGUAAAGCAGACAGGGGCUGUCCUGGGUGUCUAGAAUAUGUAGGAUAUAAUUUGAGGAGUCACAUUAGAAAUAACCUAGGCUCUUACAGACAAGUUUAAGGCUGAAGGUUACAGGGAGACACAUUUUUCUAGACUCGCAGCCAUAUUUUUUUCUCCUUUGUCUUUAUUUUUAUAUCCUGAAAUGUCGAUGGAGCCUUGCUUCCUUGCUUCCUAAAUUGCCUUCAAGUAUUAGAAGUCUUUUGCUAAGCAUAUAAUUAAGAGAGUCCAAAUGUGAGCACCGAGGAGAAAGGUGUCUAAUAAAGUAAGUGGCAAAUGUGAAUUUAUUAAAGUAGGUCGCGUCAUACAUUGUAAUAACCUUCCUUGGCAUAUCUCGUAACGUGGGAGAUAAAAGUAAUGAAAGCACACGGCAUACUUAAAGCUGAGAAAGGCAUUCCUUGUAGUUCUGCCUAAGAGGUGCCUAUAAAUUAAUUGCAUAAAUACCUGAACAAAACACUGGUCAUAUAAAUCUAAUGAGCAUAAUCGAUAAGUGUGCAGCCUCUAAGUAAAAGAACCUUGGGUUCAGUAUUAGCAUGUUUGAAGUAUUUUGGUAAUGCCAUGCUCACAUUUGUGGAAUGCAUUUUCUGAAUCAGGAAUGGAAUUUGCACGGGGAGGUGCAGACCUCUGCACCAAUCUGCAGAGGUAACUCUAGUGGGAUGAAAGUAGUGAUGGAAACCUACUAAUGUUAAGACACAGAGCACAGGAAAGCUAAUACAAUCAGAAAAGCAAAUCUGCAAAACACCAAAUUAAAAGCACAUUCGUGACACAUAGGUGUCACCUUUUAAUUAUCAAUGGUUCUUUUAUUUGAAUGCAACUGCGCGCAGAGGUAUGAGAGGCACAAUAAGUACAUGCACAGAAUCUCCCACCAGGGUUUUGCCACACAAUUUACCAUAAAUGUUAGGUACAAAAUGCACCCUAACAGAUGAGAAGCAGCACCUGAUGUAUUUAGAUACUUGGUGAGAGAAAAAUCACAAUAGCUAAUAAGCAUUUUUAAAAAUUUUUAUACCCUUGAUUAUUAAAGAAAUUUAAAGGUCUUUAAUGGAGCCGUGAGUUAACAAAAUGGAUAUUCAACAACAAUAGCAAAGACAUGCAUUAUAAUGGUAUGUAUUGUGCUAAGUGAAAGCUACCUACGUUAGCUUAGUUCAUAGUGCAUAGGUAAGUUUGGAUAAGGGGAAGUUAGAUUAGACUUUUACUGAUAUACUAAGAAGUAGUCAGUGAAUGUCUGAAAUAAAUAUGGAAAAGAGAAACAAGGCCAAAUCUCUGAUAUUUGCAAUCUCUGAUGUUUGAAGUGUGGUCAGGGACACUAGCACGAAAGCAAGAGGAGUUGGCAGAAAUAGACAUCUUACUCCCCAUCUCAGACCAGUUCCUUCAGGAAGUGGAGUGUGGGUCUUAAACAAUCUGUUCCUGCAGUCGCUCUGCGUGACAGGGGUUACAUCCACGAAUUCAUCCACAUAUCAUUGCAGUGGUGAACUGAGCAUGGGAAAGUAAAGGCACUCCCUUCCUAAGGUUUUAUACAAGAUUUACAAGUAACUCAUUGAGUCACUGCUUUUAUAGACCCUGUGUUUAUUGUAAACAAAAGAGAAAGCUCCUAACUUGACCAAAAAGGUUUUAUCUCUUCAUCCCUAUAAUUUCCUGUCAGGUCCCAACCUUAAGUUAAGCUCAAACCCUAACCCCCAACUCUAUAUUCCAGUCCUCAAACUCUUGUGUCCAUAAAGUUUACUUUAUAGAAUUUGUGUACCUGUCUUUACCAAGGUUCAAAAUAAUUUUGACUUUCUCUACACUAGCUUAACUCAAUCUAAAUAUUUGAAAUUAAUAAUCAUUUCUGUAGAAAUCCUACAGCUUUAAGGAUUUUUAAUUUGAAGACUGCUUUCUAUAUUUAUUUAUAUAAUUAUUGAUGAUAUUAAUAUGUCCAAUCCUGCUGGACUAUGGGAAGAUCAUUGUACCCUGUGAUCACAUGAUAAUUUGCUGAAUUGAUGAAUACAAUGUAUCUAUUUCUUCAAUUUUGUUUCUCCACAGCCCCGGUAGUGUGUUUUGACAUGCGAUUGAAAUCUCAUGUUUUUGUAAGACAGAGAUGAGAGAAUCCCUUUCUAAAUAAUGCUUUUAUAUCCUUUAUUAUCUACCUAUAUCUAGCUAUGUGUUAAUUAUUGAAAAAUUAUUAUCGACAAUGUGUAUCUAAUUGCUUAAAAUAUUAUCCACUCAGAUAUUUUAGUC